AAAAGAAAUAAAAAUAAAAACCAGAGUUCUGAGGAGCGCUGGUGGAGCUGUGGACCAGUUGUGUGGAGUCACAUUGUUUCUUUUCGUAACACAUUAGCCAUGGGGAGUUGAUGGGUAACAUUUGCAACCAUAAGGCAACUGUGAAGAUUUGUCAGACCUGCAACGACUUCUUCUGUGAGCCCCACGCUCGUCAACAUGGCACACAGUUGCACAAACACAUUAGCAAAGACAUCGGCAGUGACAUCCAAGAUAGAAGCUGUCUGCAUCAGAAGUCCAAAGAUUUUUACUGCACAACUGAUCACAUGCACAUUUGCAGCAUUUGUGUGGAAGGAAACCACAAAAGACAUGACAUCAUUUCACAGAAGAUUCAGGUGGAUGUUGGUGAGGACCUUGGGCAGCAUGAUACAAGUUGUUUACCAGCUUUUGAUUCUUCUUUAUUUUUUUUUUUGUGAAUAUUGUCUUGAUGUCAAAUAUCUGUUUUGGACAAAACGUGUGUGUAAAUAGGUCCAAAACAAAAGUAAAAGUUACUCUAAAAUUAACAAAUAGCAGAGACACAAAUUAUGAUUGAAAUCUGCUUUGAUCACAUCUGAUUAAUAGGGUAAAUAUAUUUUAAAGGUCCUUAAUGUGAUAUUGCUUCAAGCUGUUUUGUUGCUUGUUCAUUUUUCUGAUGUUAUAAUCCCUUAGUUACAUAACUGUCACUGACCUUUCCCCAGACCUGUGAAACACCUGGUGUAGUGGGAAAUGAUGUAACACUGUAAUAAUGAUACUGGAAGGUGAUCAAAUUAAAUAAAGUGUGUGUUCCAUUUUCAUGGAAAAAACAAACAAACAUGUAAAGCUCUGUUCAGUUACUGCUGCAAAAUACCUUAAUUUGUCUACUUUAAUAAUUACCACUCAAACAGUGUUCUGCAGGCAGAUGCAG